GCGGAUGACAGGAGCUUGCUCCUGAAUUCAGCGGCGGACGGGUGAGUAAUGCCUAGGAAUCAGCCUGGUAGUGGGGGACAACGUCUCGAAAGGGACGCUAAUACCGCAUACGUCCUACGGGAGAAAGCAGGGGACCUUCGGGCCUUGCGCUAUCAGAUGAGCCUAGGUCGGAUUAGCUAGUUGGUGAGGUAAUGGCUCACCAAGGCGACGAUCCGUAACUGGUCUGAGAGGAUGAUCAGUCACACUGGAACUGAGACACGGUCCAGACUCCUACGGGAGGCAGCAGUGGGGAAUAUUGGACAAUGGGCGAAAGCCUGAUCCAGCCAUGCCGCGUGUGUGAAGAAGGUCUUCGGAUUGUAAAGCACUUUAAGUUGGGAGGAAGGGCAUUAACCUAAUACGUUAGUGUUUUGACGUUACCGACAGAAUAAGCACCGGCUAACUCUGUGCCAGCAGCCGCGGUAAUACAGAGGGUGCAAGCGUUAAUCGGAAUUACUGGGCGUAAAGCGCGCGUAGGUGGUUUGUUAAGUUGGAUGUGAAAUCCCCGGGCUCAACCUGGGA
rnacentral:rRNA from 1 species